rnacentral:RNase_P_RNA from 1 species
AUGGUACGAAAGACAAUCGCAGGGGAAGCCCCUUGAGGAAAGUCCGGACUCCUAACGAAAAGAGCGCCGAGCGCAAGCUCGGAAGGCGCAAGCCUAUGGAAAGUGCCACAGAAAANNGGGUGAAAACGUGUGGUAAGAGCAUACGACGCGUACUAGUAAUAGUAUGCGGGGGCAAACCCCGCUCGGAGCAAGGCCAAACAGUGUAUUCAGUUUUUUCGUUCUGUCAGAAUGGCAACAUUCUGAGAUACAUACACGGGUAGGCCGCCUAGAUACAUGAUUGCCGCCAGAGUAUUCUGGUACAGAAUCCGGCUUAUUGACUACCAAAAAC